GGAAAAGAAACCAACAGGGAUUGCCUUAGUAGCGGCGAGUGAAGCGGCAAGAGCUCAAAUUUGAAAUCUGGCGUAAGCCCGAGUUGUAAUUUGAAGAAGAUAUUCUUGGAAUUGGUCCUUGUCUAUGUUCCUUGGAACAGGACGUCACAGAGGGUGAGAAUCCCGUGCGACAAGGAAUUCUUUUCUUUAUAAGAUGUCUUCGAAGAGUCGAGUUGUUUGGGAAUGCAGCUCAAAGUGGGUGGUAAAUUCCAUCUAAAGCUAAAUAUUGGCGAGAGACCGAUAGCGAACAAGUACUGUGAAGGAAAGAUGAAAAGAACUUUGAAAAGAGAGUGAAAAAGUACGUGAAAUUGUUGAAAGGGAAGGGUAUUCGAUCAGACUGGUAUUUAAUUAUCGCUACUCCUUGUGGGUGGUGCUCUAAUUUCUUACUGGGCCAACAUCAGUUUUGGUGGUAAGAUAAUCGCAGUUGAAUGUGGCUCCUCGGAGUGUUAUAGCUUCUGUUGAUGUUACCUACCGGGACUGAGGUUCUGCGACUUUGUCUAGGAUGUUGGCGUAAUGAUCCAAUACCGCC
rnacentral:rRNA from 1 species